AACGAACGCUGGCGGCAGGCCUAACACAUGCAAGUCGAGCGCGCCUUCGGGUGAGCGGCGGACGGGUUAGUAACGCGUGGGAACGUGCCCUUCUCUACGGAAUAGCCUCUGGAAACGGAGAGUAAUACCGUAUACGCCCUUUGGGGGAAAGAUUUAUCGGAGAAGGAUCGGCCCGCGUUAGAUUAGGUAGUUGGUGGGGUAACGGCCUACCAAGCCUACGAUCUAUAGCUGGUUUUAGAGGAUGAUCAGCAACACUGGGACUGAGACACGGCCCAGACUCCUACGGGAGGCAGCAGUGGGGAAUCUUAGACAAUGGGGGCAACCCUGAUCUAGCCAUGCCGCGUGAGUGAUGAAGGCCUUAGGGUCGUAAAGCUCUUUCGCCUGUGAUGAUAAUGACAGUAGCAGGUAAAGAAACCCCGGCUAACUCCGUCCCAAAGGG
rnacentral:rRNA from 1 species